rnacentral:misc_RNA from 1 species
GAUGAAGAACGUAGCGAACUGCGAUAAGUAAUGUGAAUUGCAGAAUUCAGUGAAUCAUCGAGUCUUUGAACGCACAUUGCGCCCCCUGGCAUUCCGGGGGGCAUGCCUGUCCGAGCGUCAUUGCUGCCCUUCAAGCCCGGCUUGUGUGUUGGGUCGUCGUCCCCCCCGGGGGACGGGCCCGAAAGGCAGCGGCGGCACCGCGUCCGGUCCUCGAGCGUAUGGGGCUUUGUCACCCGCUCGAUUAGGGCCGGCCGGGCGCCAGCCGGCGUCUCCAACCUUCUAUUUUACCAGGUUGACCUCGGAUCAGGUAGGGAUACCCGCUGAACUUAAGCAUAUCAAUAAGCGGAAGA